GGCCAGGCAGACCCUCCGCCGGACACGACUCCGGGAGAAACGUGUUUUAAAUCCAAGCUCUUGAGCUUCUAACCGGGGAGCGCGCGCGAGUGUGUGAAGAGGCUGGGAACCUUGGUUUUCAGAGACUCUAGAAGAAACUUCUCGCCUCCCUCUCCUCCCGAGGACAGCCGGGACUGUGGGUGAACGAGUCUCAUCGGGUCGGGUCGGGGCCCUGCGGGACCGGUUUGCCUGACCCGACCGCGCUCGCAUUGGAAAGCCGAGGCUCGAUCGGCCGGCCGGGCUGCCUAACCCCCGCCCCACAGCAGCGGCGUCCCUCGCGCGCCGCCGCGUUUCCCGCGCUCUCGGCCGGUACUUCCCGGCGCGGCCUACAAGGCCCCGUGCGGCCCCGCCUCCGGGUCCCGCUCGGUCUCCGGCUGCGAGAGGGAAGGCGGAGGUUAUCCGCCGAGGGACCAGCGGCGCGGACCGAUACUUUGUUUCUCCAUAAACCAAAAGGGAUACCACUAUAUGCUGUUGUUAUAAGAGAAUUGCAUCUUGGUUCCUGA
rnacentral:lncRNA from 1 species